CCUACGGGGGGCUGCAGUGGGGAAUAUUGCACAAUGGGCGCAAGCCUGAUGCAGCCAUGCCGCGUGUGAAGAAGGCCUUCGGGUUGUAAAGCACUUUCAGCGGGGAGGAAGGCGUUAAGGUUAAUAACCUUGGCGAUUGACGAUACCCGCAGAAGAAGCACCGGCUAACUCCGUGCCAGCAGCCGCGGUAAUACGGAGGGUGCAAGCGUUAAUCGGAAUUACUGGGCGUAAAGCGCACGCAGGCGGUCUGUCAAGUCGGAUGUGAAAUCCCCGGGCUCAACCUGGGAACUGCAUUCGAAACUGGCAGGCUAGAGUCUUGUAGAGGGGGGUAGAAUUCCAGGUGUAGCGGUGAAAUGCGUAGAGAUCUGGAGGAAUACCGGUGGCGAAGGCGGCCCCCUGGACAAAGACUGACGCUCAGGUGCGAAAGCGUGGGGAGCAGACAGGAUUAGAUACCCUUGUAGUC
rnacentral:rRNA from 1 species